AUUGAACGCUGGCGGCAUGCCUUACACAUGCAAGUCGAACGGCAGCACGGGAGCAAUCCUGGUGGCGAGUGGCGAACGGGUGAGUAAUAUAUCGGAACGUGCCCGGUCGUGGGGAUAACGUAGCGAAAGCUACGCUAAUACCGCAUACGAUCUACGGAUGAAAGCGGGGGAUCGCAAGACCUCGCGCGAUUGGAGCGGCCGAUAUCCGAUUAGGUAGUUGGUGAGGUAAAGGCUCACCAAGCCGACGAUCUGUAGCUGGUCUGAGAGGACGACCAGCCACACUGGGACUGAGACACGGCCCAGACUCCUACGGGAGGCAGCAGUGGGGAAUUUUGGACAAUGGGCGCAAGCCUGAUCCAGCAAUGCCGCGUGCAGGAUGAAGGCC
rnacentral:rRNA from 1 species